rnacentral:lncRNA from 1 species
GAGUGAGCGGCUGCGCGGCUGCUGGGAGGGUGAAUGAAGCCAGGAGGAGGGGAAGGAGGAGGCGGCGGCGGCGGAGGAGGCGCUGCGGGGAUUGGGAUGCGCCCUGGAGCCCCGCUGCUCGUUCACUCUGGGCCGGGCCGGAGACUCCGCCACUCCCGCGGCCGCCGCCGCCGCCGCCUCCUACGUGGUUCCAGCGCUGCGAGCAGGCCGGUCCCGCAGGGGGCAGGGAAGGGGCCGGCCGGGCGGAGCGAGAGAAGCACCGUGCAGCAAGUCGCGAGGCUGGUCCGCGCACGCCGGGGAUUGGUUUGCCAUCCUUGUGAGACGGUCUCCUGCUCCACGGCCACUCCAGGGAGGUGCGCCCCAUAUCAGGUCACAGACAGUGCUGGUGGACAUCUCCUCUUGCCCCAAGACCUUCGUUGGAAGUCCACGGGACUUGGUGUCUUUGCCGGUCAAAGUAGAUAUGAGCUCGCCAGGAGGCAUAAUGCGUCACCAUUUUAUUCUGGGCCACCCUAA